AUGGGGGGGGAUACCUUGCAGGUCGAACGGUACAGGAUGUGCUUGCAAUCGCUGACGAGUGGCGGACGGGUGAAAAAAGAUAGGGAACUUGCCUUUGCGAGGGGGAUAACAGUUGGAAACGACUGCUAAUACCGCAUAAUGUCUACGGACCAAAGGGGGCUCCGGCUCCCGCGUGAAGAGAGGCCCAAGUGAGAUUAUCUAGUUGGUGAGGUAAAGGCUCACCAAGGCGACGAUCUCUAGCUGUUCUGAGAGGAAGAUCAGCCACACUGGGACUGAGACACGGCCCAGACUCCUACGGGAGGCAGCAGUGGGGAAUAUUGCACAAUGGGGGAAACCCUGAUGCAGCCAUGCCGCGUGUGUGAAGAAGGCCUUCGGGUUGUAAAGCACUUUCAGUUGUGAGGAAAGGCUGGUAGUUAAUACCUGCCAGCUGUGACGUUAACAACAGAAGAAGCACCGGCUAACUCCGUGCCAGCAGCCGCGGUAAUACGGAGGGUGCGAGCGUUAAUCGGAAUUUACUGGGCGUAAAGCGGACGCAGGCGGUUUGUUAAGCUAGAUGUGAAACCCCCGGGGCUCAACCUGGGAUGGGUCAUUUAGAAACUGGGCAGACUAGAGUCUUGGAGAGGGGAGUGGAAUUUCCAGGUGUAGCGGUGAAAAUGCGUAAAUAUCCUGGAGGAACAAUCAGUUGCCGAAGGCGAACUCCCCUGGGCCAAAGAAUUGACGCUCAAUGUC
rnacentral:rRNA from 1 species